CUCCUCCCAUCCCAGCGAUUUCUGUUCGGUACACCUUGAGCCGACGUCAUCACUAGCGUGGUGCUUCAAUCGAUUUCUCAAGUUUGAGACUUUGUGCAUGUGUAUAAUUUGGCUCAGUCUCAAUUGGUGCUUGGAUAUGGUGUGAGGCUAGCCAAAUUGGCUCAGCAUGUUACCAAUUUGUUCUUAUUUUGCCUCUCUCUUUGCUAAAACGAAAUGUUGAUGGGCGUUAUUUUAUUGAAAGAGUAGGUCUACUGCUUGCCUUCUCAAUUUUGGUGGCUAAGUGGGAUGAGUGUUGGUUCAGGGAGAACGAGUAGAAAGAAAGCCAUCCUUGACAGCAGCAGAGAGAGAGAGAGAUAUUCAAGAAGCAAAAAUCUGGGUUGCUCUUCUCAAUCAAAUUGUCAAGGCAUUAGAAACAUUCAAAGGCAGUAGGCAGUACAACCUCAUUAAAAUUGGGGACUUAUGCUCAAAAUAUGUGAUCCAUAUGGAGGAAUGUGUUAGAUGGUUAGAACAUGGAGAAGACUGUAAAAGUACUUGGGCUCCCUCCCCUUUGUGAACUAGAUAACUUCAUUUGAUUACUAUUAGUUGUUAGUUCAGUUAGAAAGCAAUUGAUAAUUGUUAUACAACUUGAACGAAGUGAUACUACCCGCAGCAAAGUGCGGGAUUUCUAACUAGUAUU